AGAGUUUGAUCCUGGCUCAGAAUGAACGCUGGCGGCGUGCUUAACACAUGCAAGUCGAACGAUGAAGUUUAGUUUACUAAAUGGAUUAGUGGCGCACGGGUGAGUAAUAUAUAGAUAACGUGCCUCUUAGUCUGGGAUAGCCAUUGGAAACGAUGAUUAAUACUAGAUACUCCUUCUAACUCUAAUGUUAGUUGGGAAAGUUUUUCGCUAAGAGAUCGGUCUAUAUCCCAUCAGCUAGUUGGUAGUGUAAGAGACUACCAAGGCUAUGACGGGUAGCGGGUUUGAGAGGAUGAUCCGCCACACUGGUACUGAGACACGGACCAGACUCCUACGGGAGGCAGCAGUGAGGAAUAUUGCACAAUGGAGGAAACUCUGAUGCAGCAACGCCGCGUGGAGGAUGACGCAUUUCGGUGUGUAAACUCCUUUUAUAUGUCAAGAAAAUGACGGUAGCAUAUGAAUAAGCACCGGCUGACUCCGUGCCAGCAGCCGCGGUAAUACGGAGGGUGCAAGCGUUAUUCGGAAUCACUGGGCGUAAAGGACGCGUAGGCGGGAAGCCAAGUCUGAUGUGAAAUCCUAUGGCUCAACCAUAGAACUGCAUUGGAAACUGGUUACCUAGAGUAUGGGAGGGGGAGAUGGAAUUAGUGGUGUAGGGGUAAAAUCCGUAGAUAUCACUAGGAAUACCGAAAGCGAAGGCGAUCUCCUGGAACAAUACUGACGCUAAGGCGUGAAAGCGUGGGGAGCAAACGGGAUUAGAUACCCUGGUAGUCCACGCAGUAAACGUUGAUCACUAGGUGUAGCGGGUAUUGACCCCUGCUGUGCCGGAGUUAACGCAUUAAGUGAUC
rnacentral:rRNA from 1 species